AUGAAUACCAUUAAAAACCUUGAACCAUCAUAAGUCUUGAAAUGUAUAAUUCAUCCACCAUUAAAAACCUUGAACCAUCAUAAGUGAAAAAACCCAGAAAUUGCUCCAAUUUGAUUAUUAUGGCGCCAGGAAGUAGAGAAACAACAAGUGAUGCUAACAGUGACAACCAAUAAAAUUUAUCAGAUUAUAGUAAGAAUAGAUAUAUGAGUACUCAACAACAACCAACGCCAUAUUCUGUUAACAAAACCAUUGCACAGUAUCCUGUUGAUGCUAGACUUGAUGAUGUUUUUGAACAAUCAGGAGAAUCUGGUAAGUGUUUUGACUACUUAGAAUGUUUAAAAAGUACUUCACAAUCAAUUCCUGAUGAACAACAAAUCAACACUUACUUAUCAAGAGUCCAAAGGGGUCGUCACUUACAGCCUUUUGGUUGUAUGAUAGCGGCUCAAGAAAGCACUUUUAGGGUAAUUGCUUACAGUGAAAAUGCUUCAGAAAUGCUUGAUAUUAUGCCUCAAUCAGUUCACAUUCUUGAUACAGAAUCUUUAAUAGUGGGUACGGAUGUUAGAACUCUUUUUACCCCAUCAAGUGCGUCUUUCUUGGAGAAAGCGUUCUCGUCUCGUAACAUUUCGUUUUUUAACCCUCUAUGGAUUCAUUUUAAGAAUUCAGGGAAGCCAUUUUUCGCUAUUUUGCAUAAAAUUGAUGUGGGUAUUGUAAUUGACUUAGAACCAGCUAGUGCAGAAGAUCCUGCUUUUUCUAUUUCUGGGGCAGUUCAGUCUCAGAAGCUAGCUGACAGGGCGAUUUUGCGGUUACAGGCUCUUCCUGGUGGGAAUAUUAAGACUUUGUGUGAUACUGUAGUCGAACUUGUUAGGGAGCUUACCGGCUAUGAUAGGGUUUUUGUGUAUAAAUUCCACGAGGAUGACCAUGGUGAGGUUGUAGCUGAAAGUAAGAGGUCUGAUUUGGAACCGUAUAUGGGGUUACACUUUCCUUCCACUGACAUACCUCAAGCAUCGAGACUCUUGUUUGAACAGAACAGAGUUAGGAUUAUUGUUGAUUGCCAUGCUAGACCUGUUCCCGUGGUUCAGGAUGAAGCACUGAUGCAGCCUCUUUGUUUAGCUGGUUCAACUCUCAGGGCACCACAUGGUUGUCACACAGAAUACAUGGCUAAUAUGGGUUCAGUUGCCUCAUUAGCAAUGUCAGUAAUCAUCAAUGAAAAUGAUCAAGAAAGUAGCGGAGCUUCUGGUGCUCGUAAUUCAACGAGAUUAUGGGGACUUGUUGUGUGCCAUCACACAUCUGCUCGUUGUAUCUCGUUUCCUCUCCGUUACGCGUGCGGAUUCCUAAUGCAGGUUUUUGAGCUUCAGUUGAGGUUGGAAUUGCAGUUGGCAUCCCAAAUGCAGGAGAAACAUGUGCUGCAAACCCAGGCUCUCUUGUGUGAUAUGCUCCUCCGAGAUUCCCCGGCUGGGGUUAUUACUCGGAGUCCAAGCAUUAUGGAUCUGGUGAAAUGUGAUGGUGCUGCUCUCAUCUACCAAGGGAAGUAUUUUUCUGUUGGUGUUUGUCCUAUUGAAUCCCAGAUUGAGGAUAUUGUUGAGUGGUUGUUAUCUUGUCAUGGUGACUUAACGGGAUUGAGUACUGAUAGUUUGACUGGUGCUGGGUGCCCAGGAGCAUCCACAUUAGGUGAUGCAGUUUGUGGGAUGGCUGUUGCUUAUAUCACCUCAAGAGACAUCCUGUUUUGGUUUCGUUCUUCUGCAACGAAAGAGAUCAAGUGGGGUGGGGCGAAACAUAGUCCAGAAGACACUGAUGAUAGCCAACGGAUGCACCCACGUUCUUCUUUUAGAGUGUUUUUGGAAAUAGUCAAGAGCCAGAGUUUGCCGUGGGAAGCUGUGGAGAUGGAUGCGAUUCACUCUUUGCAGCUUAUACUGCGGAAUUCAAUUAGGGAUGUUGAUAGAAGCAUUUGUAAGUCGGGGGUCAAUACUGAAGUUGGGAAUGAGGAUUGUCAUGGGAUGGAUGAGUGCAUUUCAGUUGUGAAAGAGAUGGCUAGGCUGAUAGAGACUGCUAAUGCUCCAAUUUUCGGUGUAGAUCCUGAAGGUCGGAUAAAUGGGUGGAAUACAAAAAUUGCAGAAUUGACAGGUCUGCCUGCCGAGGAGGCUAUUGGGAAGUUUCGACUCCAGGACCUUAUUUACAAGGAAUAUGUGGAUGAUGUAAACAAACUUCUUUCCUGUGCAUUGAAAGGGGAAGAAGAUAAAAAUGUAGAGCUCAAGCUGAAGACAUUUGGUCCACAAAAACUUAGCAAAAGCGUGUUUCUGGUGGUCAAUGCCUGCUCAAGCAAAGACUAUCUGAACAACAUUGUAGGAGUUGGCUUUGUGGGUCAGGAUAUUACUUCUGAGAAAGUAGUACUGGACAAGUUCAUAUGUCUACAAGGUGAUUAUAAAGCUAUUUUCCAUAACCCCAACCCUUUAAUUCCGCCCAUAUUUGCUUCGGAUGAGAAUUUGUGUUGCUUGGAAUGGAAUAAGGCUAUGGAAAAACUAACAGGUUGGAACAGAGAGGAAAUGCUUGGGAAGAUGCUGGUAGGAGAUAUAUUUGGCAGUUGCUGUCGGCUCGAAAGCACUGAUGCUCACACAAAGUUCACAAUUGUCCUACACAAUGCAAUUGGAGACCAAGAUACAGAUAGAAUUCCAUUCCAGUUCUAUGAGCGGAGUGGGGUGUAUGUGCAAGCUCUCUUGACAGCAAUGAAAAGGGUCAAUUUGCAAGGAGAGAUAAGUGGGGCAUUCUGCUUUCUUCAGAUUGUGAGCCCUGAAUUGCAACAAGUCCUGGAAGUACAGAGGCAGGAGAAGAAACUCUGUGCUAGGAAGACACAUUUGGCUUAUAUCUGCCAAGAGGUAAAAAAUUCUUUACGUGGCAUACAUUUCAUGAAUUCUCUACUAGAGGGAAUGGAUUUAAGUGAAGAUCAGAAACAGGGUCUUGAGACUAGUGCUGCUUGUGAAAGGCAAAUGAUGAGGAUUAUUAAAGAUGUUGAUUUGGAAUGCAUCGAGGAUGGGUCCUUUGAGUUUGAUGAGUCUGAAUUUUCAGUUGGGAACCUUAUAAAUGCUCUAGUUAGCCAAGUAAUGAUUCUCCUGAGAGAAAGAGGUUUACAUCUGAUCCGUGAUAUUCCAAAGGAAAUCAAAACUCUAGGUGUUAUUGGUGAUCAAGUUCGGAUUCAACAGGUCUUAGUUAAUUUCUUGUUGUGCGCGGUGCAAUACACGCCAUCUCCAGGAGGUUGGGUAGAGAUUCAAGUCCAGUCAAGCCCGAAGAAAAUUUCAGAUGGGAAAGAACUCCUACUUCUUGAAUUCAGGAUCGGGUGUCCUGGUGAAGGCCUCCCCCCUGAACUUGUUCAAGACAUGUUCCGCAGCAAGGAGCGGUUGACACAAGAAGGUCUAGCCUUGAGCAUGUCAAUGAGAAUUCUGCAGUUAAUGAACGGUAAAGUUCAUUAUGUCAGGGGAUCCGAACAGUGUUAUUUUGUCACUGUCCUUGAGCUUGCCUUUCCUAGAAGGGAUUAGAAAAACACUGCAUAUUGAAUGUAUCCCAUGCAGUUGCAGGCAACUGAAUCCCAUCUAUGUUAAUAUCUGAGACUGAGGCAAGUUAGCCAAAGGAGAUGGUGAAUUUUUCCUUGACAUCCUACUUUUCUUACUCAAAUAUCCCCAUAACAGAGAAAUGAGUGAUUUUGCACUCUACUGGAUGGUCUACUGUAUGGAAAGGACCCCUUGAAGCGCGAUGAACUUGGAUGUGUAGCUUCUCACAACCGUGUUGCAGAGAUUUUUAAUUCGCAGCUUAGCACUCUCUGCCAACAAAUUCAAAAGGACAUCUCCAACGCGGAACUCAUUUACGUCGAUAUGUUUUCAAUAAAGCUCAACCUCAUCUCAAAUUACUCCGGAUCUUCAUAAUCAUAUACUCCCUCCGUUUCAGGAAAAAUGAUAUUUUCAUUUAUAUUUUUUCACUUUUAUUUUUGUUAAAAUAGGCCAAAUUGAAAAUAUAAAAGUAUCACGAUUUCUUGAAACGGAGAGAGUAUAUACUAGCUAGUUAUAUGCACUUAUACCAAAUUUAUGUAUAAUCAUUUUCCUCGCAAAUAAUUUCAGGUUUUGCGCAAUCGACAGCAGCCUUUUGUGGGUACGGCGGGCUACCAUUGAACUACGAUGACCGGAUCAUAUGAUAUGUGGUCAGACAAUAGUUCUGAAUGGUACACCAGUGACAGCAAAAGCAUGUGAAAAUCCUUCCGAGUAUGUCAACUGGGAUGGAAUCCAUUACACAGAGUCUGCAAACUUUUACGUGACGUCGCAGAUAUUGACCGGAAAAUACUCAUAUUCUCUUUUCUCAUAGGAGAUUUCAC